rnacentral:lncRNA from 1 species
GGUGGCUCCUGGUGGUAUGGUCGUAGACGUUGGAUGUUUCUAAAAUAUUGCUUUUAUAGGUAACGAUUUGCAAAUGUCGCGAAAUACUUUUACACAUUCUGCGGGCUGAAUCUGAAAUGUGAUUUCCGAGCUAUAUAUCGACUGGCAAAAAUGAAAGUCUACAACACGAAGUAUUCCCAGGCGGUCACCCAUCCAAGUACUAACUUCGCCCGACCAGGCUUAACUUCGGUGAUCAGACGAGAACCGGGUUUU